AUUGAACGCUGGCGGCAGGCCUAACACAUGCAAGUCGAGCGAGCGGCGGACGGGUGAGUAAUGUCUGGGAAACUGCCUGAUGGAAGGGGAUAACUACUGGAAACGGUAGCUAAUACCGCAUACCAUCAGAUGUGCCCAGAUGGGAUUAGCUAGUAGGUGGGGUAACGGCUCACCUAGGCGAUGAUCCCUAGCUGGUCUGAGAGGAAGACCAGCAACACUGGAAGUGAGAAACGGUGCAGAGUACGACGGGAGGCAGCAGUGGGGAAUAGUGCACAAUGGGCGAAAGCCUGAUGCAGCCAGGGCGCGGGUGUGAAGAAGGCCUUCGGGUGGUAAAGCACUUGCAGCGGGGAGGCGUGACCCGCAGAAGAAGCACCGGCGAACUCCGUGCCAGCAGCCGCGGGAAUAC
rnacentral:rRNA from 1 species